GGGGUGCAGCUAGACCCACAUAGGAGUCUUGCGCCUUCGAUUACUAUAUAAUGGCUAGCUAUUAUCACUUUUUGGCCAGCUACUUCUAAAUUUAAUGACAGCCCUGGUGUAAACACAGUUAGCUGUUAGCGUCCUCUGCAGCAAGGCAACUCGGUUUGGCUAAAAUAACAGAAUUACGCAAUACUGUUAUAUGAUUAAAUGUACCCGAAAGCCGAGAGAGGUUUAGUAAAAGUACUAAACCUCUCUUGGCUUGAGGGACAUUUCAUCACAAAUCGACCGUAAUGUCAUGUGGCAAUAAAACGGUUUCAUUCGACUGAAUAAGUUGAAAUGAGCGCGUUUGCUUUUUGAUCCUAUGACUAUUGGGAUGUUCGUUAAUGAGGUUACGGUUGAUUUUUCAUGUGAAUAUUUAAUUGAGUAUUACUAAUUACUUUAGUAACUAUAAUCGUCCCGUGGGAUGGUUAAUUUCUGAUCGUCCCUCAUGUUUUAGUAACGAGGUAAAUUAGUCAUUAAUCGUCCCUCGCGAAACAAAGGGUUUCGAGGUAGCUAUGAUAUUACUUAUAAUUAUUUAGUUAUUGUGUUUUAAAGAUUAUUUAAAUUAAUAUCGUAACGAACAGUGUUUUGAUUUAGAAGGUAAUAGAUUGUAAUGUAAUGUAUAGUUGUUAAUUGUUGUUGAAUAAAAUUUGUAAAACGAAAUGUGUGUGUCAAACCAGCCGUAUAUAUAGGUGCAGUUCUAUUAUUCGUGGAAGGCAGACAACGAAAUCUGCGACAUAUGGUGGUUUCAACUUAA